rnacentral:rRNA from 1 species
UACGUAGGGGGCAAGCGUUGUCCGGAAUCAUUGGGCGUAAAGCGCGUGUAGGCGGCUUGAUAAGUCUGAUCUGAAAGCCCGGGGCUCAACCCUGGGAGGCGGGUGGAUACUGUCGAGCUCGAGUCCGGAAGAGGCGAGUGGAAUUCCUGGUGUAGCGGUGAAAUGCGCAGAUAUCAGGAGGAACACCAAUGGCGAAGGCAGCUCGCUGGGACGGUACUGACGCUGAGACGCGAAAGCGUGGGGAGCAAACAGG